AUUGAACGCUGGCGGCAGGCUUAACACAUGCAAGUCGAGCGGAGAUGAGGUGCUUGCACCUUAUCUUAGCGGCGGACGGGUGAGUAAUGCUUAGGAAUCUGCCUAUUAGUGGGGGACAACAUUCCGAAAGGAAUGCUAAUACCGCAUACGUCCUACGGGAGAAAGCAGGGGAUCUUCGGACCUUGCGCUAAUAGAUGAGCCUAAGUCGGAUUAGCUAGUUGGUGGGGUAAAGGCCUACCAAGGCGUCGAUCUGUAGCGGGUCUGAGAGGAUGAUCCGCCACACUGGGACUGAGACACGGCCCAGACUCCUACGGAGGCAGCAGUGGGGAAUAUUGGACAAUGGGGGGAACCCUGAUCCAGCCAUGCCGCGUGUGUGAAGAAGGCCUUAUGGUUGUAAAGCACUUUAAGCGAGGAGGAGGCUACUGAGACUAAUACUCUUGGAUAGUGGACGUUACUCGCAGAAUAAGCACCGGCUAACUCUGUGCCAGCAGCCGCAGUAAAAC
rnacentral:rRNA from 1 species